rnacentral:rRNA from 1 species
GGUUAACCGUAUAGGGGAGCCGAAGGGAAACCGAGUCUUAACUGGGCGUUAAGUUGCAGGGUAUAGACCCGAAACCCGGUGAUCUAGCCAUGGGCAGGUUGAAGGUUGGGUAACACUAACUGGAGGACCGAACCGACUAAUGUUGAAAAAUUAGCGGAUGACUUGUGGCUGGGGGUGAAAGGCCAAUCAAACCGGGAGAUAGCUGGUUCUCCCCGAAAGCUAUUUAGGUAGCGCCUCGUGAAUUCAUCUUCGGGGGUAGAGCACUGUUUCGGCUAGGGGGUCAUCCCGACUUACCAACCCGAUGCAAACUGCGAAUACCGAAGAAUGUUAUCACGGGAGACACACGGCGGGUGCUAACGUCCGUCGUGAAGAGGGAAACAACCCAGACCGCCAGCUAAGGUCCCAAAGUCAUGGUUAAGUGGGAAACGAUGUGGGAAGGCACAGACAGCCAGGAUGUUGGCUUAGAAGCAGCCAUCAUUUAAAGAAAGCGUAAUAGCUCACUGGUCGAGUCGGCCUGCGCGGAAGAUGUAACGGGGCUAAACCAUGCACCGAAGCUGCGGCAGCGACACUAUGUGUUGUUGGGUAGGGGAGCGUUCUGUAAGCCGUUGAAGGUGGCCUGUGAGGGUUGCUGGAGGUAUCAGAAGUGCGAAUGCUGACAUAAGUAACGAUAAUGCGGGUGAAAAACCCGCACGCCGGAAGACCAAGGGUUCCUGUCCAACGUUAAUCGGGGCAGGGUGAGUCGACCCCUAAGGCGAGGCCGAAAGGCGUAGUCGAUGGGAAACAGGUUAAUAUUCCUGUACUUGGUGUUACUGCGAAGGGGGGACGGAGAAGGCUAUGU